rnacentral:rRNA from 1 species
GAUGAACGCUAGCGGCAGGCCUAAUACAUGCAAGCUGAACGGUAAGAUUUGUAGCAAUACGAGUCCUAGAGUAGCGUAAGGGUGCGUAACACGUAUGCAAUCUGCCCGCAACAGGAGGAUAGCUUAGCGAAAGUUGAGAUAAGACUCCAUAAGAUCACACGAGGGCAUCUGAGGGUGAUUAAACUACAAGGGGUUGCGGAUGAGCAUGCGACUGAUUAGUUAGUU